rnacentral:rRNA from 1 species
CAGCCGCCACGGGAAUACGGAGGGAGCUAGCGUUGUUCGGAAUUACUGGGCGUAAAGCGCGCGUAGGCGGUUACUCAAGUCAGAGGUGAAAGCCCGGGGCUCAACCCCGGAACUGCCUUUGAAACUAGGUGACUAGAAUCUUGGAGAGGUCAGUGGAAUUCCGAGUGUAGAGGUGAAAUUCGUAGAUAUUCGGAAGAACACCAGUGGCGAAGGCGACUGACUGGACAAGUAUUGACGCUGAGGUGCGAAAGCGUGGGGAGCAAACAGGAUUAGAGACCCCAGUAGUCCCUGUCUCUUAUAC